rnacentral:rRNA from 1 species
GACGAACGCUGGCGGCGUGCUUAACACAUGCAAGUCGAACGGAAAGGCCCUGCUCUUGUGGGGUGCUCGAGUGGCGAACGGGUGAGUAACACGUGAGUAACCUGCCCUUGACUUUGGGAUAACUUCAGGAAACUGGGGCUAAUACCGGAUAGGAGCUCCUGCUGCAUGGUGGGGGUUGGAAAGUUUCGGCGGUUGGGGAUGGACUCGCGGCUUAUCAGCUUGUUGGUGGGGUAGUGGCUUACCAAGGCUUUGACGGGUAGCCGGCCUGAGAGGGUGACCGGCCACAUUGGGACUGGGGUACGGCCCAGACUCCUACGGGAGGCAGCAGUGGGGAAUAUUGCACAAUGGGCGGAAGCCUGAUGCAGCAACGCCGCGUGCGGGAUGACGGCCUUCGGGUAGUAAACCGCUUUCGCCUGUGACGAAGCGUGAGUGACGGUAAUGGGGAAAGAAGCACCGGCUAACUACGU